UACGUAGGGACCUAGCGUUGUUCGGAAUUACUGGGCGUAAAGGGCGCGUGGGCGUCCUGGUCAGUCGGAUGUGAAAGCCCGGGGCUCAACCCCGGAACGGCAUCCGAGACGGCCAGGCUGGAGACCGGGAGAGGAGAGUGGAAUAGCCAGUGUAGAGGUGAAAUUCGUAGAUAUUGGCUGGAACACCGGUGGCGAAAGCGGCUCUCUGGCCCGGUUCUGACGCUGAGGAGCGAAAGCGUGGGGAGCAAACAGG
rnacentral:rRNA from 1 species